rnacentral:rRNA from 1 species
AUUGAACGCUGGCGGCAUGCCUUACACAUGCAAGUCGAACGGUAACAGGUCUUCGGAUGCUGACGAGUGGCGAACGGGUGAGUAAUACAUCGGAACGUGCCCAGACGUGGGGGAUAACGAGGCGAAAGCUUUGCUAAUACCGCAUACGGUCUAAGGAUGAAAGCAGGGGACCGCAAGGCCUUGUGCGUUUGGAGCGGCCGAUGGCAGAUUAGGUAGUUGGUGGGAUAAAAGCUUACCAAGCCGACGAUCUGUAGCUGGUCUGAGAGGACGACCAGCCACACUGGGACUGAGACACGGCCCAGACUCCUACGGGAGGCAGCAGUGGGGAAUUUUGGACAAUGGGCGAAAGCCUGAUCCAGCAAUGCCGCGUGCAGGAUGAAGGCCUUCGGGUUGUAAACUGCUUUUGUACGGAACGAAAAGGCUCUGGCUAAUACCUGGGGCACAUGACGGUACCGUAAGAAUAAGCACCGGCUAACUACGUG